UUUAGAUUAAACUAAAAUUUAAAAUAUGGAUGUCAAAAAUGAUUGUAAUUUAAAUACAAGAAACUCUCAAACCAAAGAUGUUAUAGGAACUAGUUUAGUUGUAAAUGAAUCUUCUAAUUCUCCAAGUAGUUUUCAAAGAUGCAAGUUAAUUUCGCCAUUUUGUAGAAAUAACAAUGAUAUGAUGGCAGAUAAUGAUUAUGUAGAUUACACUCAUGAAAGAAUUGAUUUAGAUGAUGCACUUGAACAAAUUUUCUUAUCUGUUAUAAUGAUUGGAAGUCGGUUAGGGGCAGCUUAUUAUAAUUCAGCUACUUCAAUCAUUUAUAUGAUUCCUGAUGUUAUUGAAACACAAGACCUGCUUUUUCUUCACAAUCUACUUUCUCAAGUCAAGCCGUGCCUUAUUGUGACAAGCUCCAAACAGAAAGAAUCUUUUAUAGAUUUUUUAAAAAACAAACAAGAUCAUUCAAAUGAAGAAAAGUUUAAAUUAGAAAUUUUACCAAGCAAUUUUUUUGCAUUUGAAUCGUGCAAACGACGAAUCCUUGCUAUAAAUGGUCUAUCCGGAUUAUCAGGCAGUUCUGAUGAUGAUCAAAGAAUAAUAUAUUUUUCUUCAAUUCUUAGUUUUGAUAACACAAGUAUGGUUUCUGCUACUGGUUCUCUUCUCAAAUAUCUAGAUCAAUCAAGAAAUGGAAUAGAAUUAGAAGUUGGAGUUCAAACACCCAUCUUAUUUCUUAAAACUGUUACUAUAUCCAAUUUGAUACUAAUUGAAGACCAUGUAUUUUCUGCCUUGCAAAUUUUUCAUAAAGAAUUGCACCCAUCGGUCUAUAAAUCUGGCUCUUGUGCUAAAGAGGGUCUUUCAUUAUUUGGGAUUAUGAACAGGACAAAGUCCCAACAAGGAUCUGCAUUACUUCGAGAUUGGUUUCUUCAACCUAGUAAUGACAUUUCACUUAUCCAGAAUAGGUUAAAAGCUGUGGCUUUCUUUUUUAAUUCAAGAAAUGUUGAAAUUGUAGUUGCACUUCAAGAUGCAUUAAAAAAUACAAAGAAUAUUUUGCGAAUAUUAUCAAAAAUGAAAACUACUUCUAUUUCACUGAAUGAUUGGCAAACACUGUAUAAAACUUUAUUCAACGCAGUAUGUAUAGCAGAUAUCUGUAAACAACUUCCACAAGACAUUGGUGUUGUCAAUAAAAUUUGUGAGACAUUUACUGACAAGCUUCUUCAUAUUGCUAAUCUAAUGAAACAAAUUAUUGAUUUUGAGGAAUCUCUGUACGUCAACCAUUUUGUAGUCAAAGAAGGUGUUGAUUCUCAGUUAGAUGAAAAAAAAAGAACUUUCGAUGGCAUUCCUUACUUAAUGACACAAGUUGCCCAUAAAGAGCUUAAUAGAUUGACUGAAAGUAUCACAAAAUGUAGUGUCACUUACUUGCCACAGUUAGGGUACCUGCUAAAUAUCCCUUUAACAGAUGAAAUGAAACUAAGUCGCAAUUAUGAAAUUGAUGAGAAUUUAGAAUUUAAGUUUGCUACAGAUGAAUCAGUUUAUUACAAAUCUUCGGGCACUGAAGAACUAGAUUUAAAAGUUGGAGAUAUUCAAUGUGAAAUAAGAGACCAUGAGACAACAAUAAUGCAUCGUCUUCAAGAUGUUAUCCUCGAACACACUGGCACACUUAUUAAUGUGGUUGAAGUCUCUGCUGAACUAGACUGUAUACUUGCAUUGACUUCUGCAGCUAAAGAAUUCAACUUUGUAUGCCCAGAAAUUGCUAAUGAUGAAGAAAAUGUCACUGACAUAAAAGGAGGGAGACAUCCACUUCAAGAGAUGUGUGUCAAUCAAUUUGUCGUGAAUGAUACAAAGAUAAGUCAGUCUGAAGGAAAAAUGAUAAUUUUAACUGGCCCAAAUGCAUCUGGAAAGAGUGUUUAUAUGAAACAGGUUGGUAUCAUUGUUUACUUGGUACAUAUUGGAAGUUUUGUUCCUGCUGAUUCAGCACUGAUAAGCAUUAAGGAUGGUAUUUACACAAGAAUUCAUUCACAAGAAAGUGUUUCUAUUCCAUUAUCUACUUUUAUGAUUGACCUCAAUCAAAUUUCUGUUGCAGUCAAUCGUGCUACACAGAAGUCACUAGUUAUAAUUGAUGAAUUUGGAAAGGGAACUGCAUCGUUCAGGAGGGAACUUCAGUACCCAGUAAUCAGUGCAACUCCAUUUUUCAAAAAUUAUUUACUUGUAUCGAUGGAGUUGCAUUGCUUUCUUCGACAUUACUCUAUUGGUUGCAGGAUGAAAUAAAUUGUCCUUCAAUACUUGUUUCAACUCAUUUUCACAGCAUUAAACAACUCCUACCUAGCUCUCCUAUUAUAAAAUACCAGACAAUGGAGGUAAUAGAGAAUGACGGAGAUUUGAUUUUUUUGUAUCAUCUAAAAGAUGGCUAUGCCAAUUAUAGUUAUGCUUGUUACACAGCUCGUUCUGCAGGUAUACCUGAGGAUCUUAUCUGUCGAACAU
rnacentral:misc_RNA from 1 species